AUUUAAGUAGUUUAAUUAAAAUAAUAAUUUGUGGCGUUAUUGAUGUAUUUUUACCUUAAAUU
rnacentral:tRNA from 1 species